rnacentral:RNase_P_RNA from 1 species
CAGCCGGACCGGACGGUCGCUUCCGCCCCUUCGGGCGGUGGGAGAGGAAAGUCCGAACUCCGCAGAGCAGUGUGCCGGAUAACGUCCGGGAGGGCGCCCCGUCCUUGCAUUUUUUGCAAGCUCGGGGAUGACUCGACGGAAAGUGCCACAGAAAACAUACCGCCUCGUGCCGCAAGGCCGCGGUAAGGGUGAAAAGGUGCGGUAAGGGCGCACCGCCGCCGCAGUAAUGCGGCGGGCAGGGCAAACCCCACACGGAGCAAGACCAAAUAGGGAGGGAGUCCCGGCUUCGGCCGGGACACGUGCUGGCUCGGCGCGUCCCACCUCCGGGUAGGUCGCUAGAGCUUCGCAGUAAUGCGUGGCCCAGAGGAAUGACCGUCCUGCCGGAUCACUCCGGCAGACAGAAUUCGGCUUACAGGUCCGGCUGCUAA